AAUCCAUGAUAAGGCCAUAAUUUUAGCAUUUUAAAUCUAUCCCAAGCUUUAAAUAAAGAUUCCCCAUCAUUCUACCUGAAGCUUGCAAUUAGAUUUCUCAUAUGACU